UCUGCUAACCACAAUGCAUUAGCAUGCUAAAAUACACUUCCACCAGUGACAUGACAGUUUACAAAUGCCAUGGCAAUGUCCAGAAGUUACCCUAUAUGGUUUAAAAAUGGGAGAAACCCUGAGUUCUGGGAAUUGCCUAUCCCUUUCCCAGAAA